rnacentral:rRNA from 1 species
UACAGAGGUGGCAAGCGUUGUUCGGAAUUACUGGGCGUAAAUGGCGCGUAGGCGGUCUUGUCAGUCCCUUGUGAAAUCCCCCGGCUCAACUGGGGAACUGCACGGGAAACAGCAGGGCUUGAGUUCGGGAGAGGGAAGCGGAAUUCCGGGUGUAGCGGUGAAAUGCGUAGAUAUCCGGAGGAACACCGGUGGCGAAGGCGGCUUCCUGGACCGAUACUGACGCUGAGGCGCGAAAGCUAGGGGAGCAAACGGG